rnacentral:misc_RNA from 1 species
AAGUCGUAACAAGGUAACCGUAGGUGAACCUGCGGUUGGAUCAUUACAAAAUGAUUUUCCUUGGUUGUUGAGCUCUGCCAAUUGGUGGAGCUCCGACCGAGGGACUAACCCUUUGUGCACUAAUUAUCAAUUUUGGGUAGUAUCGGUGCUUGUUUUAAGGUUUACUUUGAAGCUCGCUACUGGGCUGCCCGACAGUUUAACAAACCCUUAUAAUUUGUCUGAUAUAUCGUAAAAAAUAUAAACAACUUUUGACAACGGAUCUCUUGGCUCUC